rnacentral:rRNA from 1 species
GACGAACGCUGGCGGCGUGCUUAACACAUGCAAGUCGAACGGAAAGGCCCGGCUUUUGUUGGGUGCUCGAGUUGCGAACGGGUGAGUAGCACGUGAGUCACCUGCCCUUGCCUUUCCGAUAACUUCAGGAAACUGGGGCUAAUACCGCAUAUGAGCUCCUGCUGCAUGGUGGGGGUUGGAAAGUUUCGGAGGUUGGGGAUGGAUUCGCGGCUUAUCAGCCUGUUGGUCGGGUAGUGGCUUACCAAGUCUUCGACGGGUGGCCGGCCUGAAAGGGUGACCGGAGACAUUGGGACUGAGAGACGGCCGAGACGCCGACGGGAGGCAGGGAUGAGGGAUAGUACACAAUGGGCGGGAGGCUGAGGCAGCGACGACGCGUGCGGGAUGACGGACUUCGGGUUGGAAACCGCUUUCGCCUGUGACGAAGCGGGAGUGACGGUAAUGGGUAAAGAAGCACCGGCUAACUACGUG